GACGAACGCUGGCGGCGUGCUUAACACAUGCAAGUCGAACGCUGAAGCUCAGCUUUUGUUGGGUGGAUGAGUGGCGAACGGGUGAGUAACACGUGAGUAACCUGCCCCCUUCUUUGGGAUAACGCCCGGAAACGGGUGCUAAUACUGGAUAUUCACUGGUCUUCGCCUGGGGGUUGGUGGAAAGGGUUUUUCUGGUGGGGGAUGGGCUCGCGGCCUAUCAGCUUGUUGGUGGGGUGAUGGCCUACCAAGGCUUUGACGGGUAGCCGGCCUGAGAGGGUGACCGGUCACAGUGGGACUGAGAUACGGCCCAGACUCCUACGGGAGGCAGCAGUGGGGAAUAUUGCACAAUGGGCGCAAGCCUGAUGCAGCGACGCCGCGUGAGGGAUGGAGGCCGUCGGGUUGUGAACCUCUUUCGCUCAUGGUCAAGCCGCAACAAUGGUUGUGGUGAGGGUAGUGGGUAAAGAAGCGCCGGCUAACUACGUG
rnacentral:rRNA from 1 species